UCUUGUCAAUGUAUUUGAAUUAGGAGUACGAAAUGACGAAAUUUGAAUUAUUAAACAUUUUACUGAGUAGUGACUAGUGAGACAGUGAGUACACUAUUAAAUUUUAUUAAAUUUUGUGGCAGGAACAGUACAAUUAAUAAUACUUGGUAUGAUCGCAAAAGGUAUUGUCAUUAAAUUAUUACUACUAUAUAUAAUACAGUAUGUUACGACACGUACCGAUCGUCAAAAAAUUAUGAACAUACAUUUUUGUUUAAAUCAUGAUGGCCUCUAUCUUUGAUAAUUGCUAAACUAUUGCAAUGGUAGUUGCUCUGUAACUCCAUUAUACAAGACUCACAAUUCAAUUUUUUUUGAAGACUUCGGAGCACAAACCCUGCAAUCUGAAGGGUUUUUCAAAGUAUUGUCCAGAGCUUGACAAUUACCGUACAUGGAACUACGUAUUUGGUUGUGAACUAAUAGUCUUUUGUAUGCUGUUUGGAACUGAUGACAAGUUGGAUUGUCACUAUAACCACAUCUGCCCCGAAUGGCACUAAAAAAAGUUUCAAGGUGGUCUUGACUUAGCUUGUAAGUUAGUAAAUAAGACAUAUCACCCUUUUCAUUUAAAAUUGUAUAAUAAUCCAAAGCAUUUUGUAUGCCAAAAAUCAUUCCAAUAAAACCUGUUUUGCGUUGAGAACAAAUUACUUUUGUACCAUCUUCAAAAGUAAGUGCUUGAACAUACGUAGAAAAAUUGUUCAAAAAGUCUUUAUAUUUUUGGUAUGUGAUUUGACAUAUGGAACUAUUAUACGGUUUAUUUGAUAAAUAUUUUCUUGAAUUUAAAAUGUCAAAAGCAUUGUUAAAAAUUUUACAAAACUCUGCAGUAG